UUUUAAGUCCAUGAUCACGAAAUUCUCACAAAAGCAAUAAGAAAAUGCAUUUUACAAAAUGUCAAGUCUACAAAAUGACAUUGAAUACUGAAGAACGAACGGUAUUACCAAACUUUAGACAAAGAUCCGAAAUCAAUUUGGGACAUUCGAAACCCACACAAGGGAGGUUUUAACAAGGAGAAGUAUUACAUAAGACUCGAGUUUUGUUUUAUUGUAAUAUACCAAAAGCACUCAAAAGCAUAUGAUGAGCUCCAUCGGAUUCGAGUCACUAGAGAACCUUUUUAGUACAAUUUUUAGGAAGAACGAUUUGAUACACCUCCUCUCCCUUGGCCACGACCACCAUAUCCAUUAUAGCCGCCGCCACCACCACCGCGUCCAUUAUAGCCGCCAUAGCUACGCCCACCAUAACCACCACGUGAAUGACCGUUCCGACCAUAACCACCACGCCCUCCCCGGCCUCCUCUAAAUCUUGAGAACUCACCAAAUGUCUGGAAUCACACCGUUACCAUUUGUUAAGAGUCAAAUGGGUUUCUCUCAAGAUUCUGGUGAGAUUGAGUAUCUCCAGAAACCAGAACGGAAUAGUUAUGUUUAGUCCGCUUUUUGAGCGUGGACAGAUAUAGAUAGUACCUCAGUAUCUAGUUUCCGUAGUUCUGAGAACCUUGGCCUUGCAUUUUGGGAAUCUCUGUCAUUGACAAGGGAUCAUCAAACUGAUUAGGUCAGACCAGAGGAAAAUCCAGUUUAAAUCAGAGAGUAUGGGAAAUUACAGUUUUUGUGAGGCCUUUACGAGGGGCGAAGCUGGACUUGAACAAAAGAAACCAGUACACAACCACAACUGCGAUUGCUAAACCUAAGAGUCUCGCAAACACGACAAGCGAAUCACUUCCCAUUCUCAUUCAAAGUUGACUAUCUCAUAAUAGUUGCAGACGAAGUGGGUAUUUUGUGGAAUGAACGACAAUCAUGGAUCUAUAUAUAAUGGACCCCUCUAUCUCCUUGUACGGCCCAUUUGUUUUGAGGCUUCUGGCACUGUGCUCAAAGUCAAACUGUUUGACUUUUAAGUCCAUGAUCACGAAAUUCUCACAAAAGCAAUAAGAAAAUGCAUUUUACAAAAUGUCAAGUCUACAAAAUGACAUUGAAUACUGAAGAACGAACGGUAUUACCAAACUUUAGACAAAGAUCCGAAAUCAAUUUGGGACAUUCGAAACCCACACAAGGGAGGUUUUAACAAGGAGAAGUAUUACAUAAGACUCGAGUUUUGUUUUAUUGUAAUAUACCAAAAGCACUCAAAAGCAUAUGAUGAGCUCCAUCGGAUUCGAGUCACUAGAGAACCUUUUUAGUACAAUUUUUAGGAAGAACGAUUUGAUACACCUCCUCUCCCUUGGCCACGACCACCAUAUCCAUUAUAGCCGCCGCCACCACCACCGCGUCCAU
rnacentral:lncRNA from 1 species